AGAGUUUGAUCCUGGCUCAGGACGAACGCUGGCAGCGUGCUUAACACAUGCAAGUCGGACGAUGAACCACUUCGGUUGGGAUUAGUGGCGAACGGGUGAGUAACACGUGGGCAAUCUGCCCUGCACUCUGGGACAAGCCCUGGGAACGGGGUCUAAUACCGGAUACUGACCCCCGCAGGCAUCUGCCGGGUUCCAAAGCUCCGGCGGUGUAGGAUGAGCCCGCGGCCUAUCAGCUUGUUGGUGAGGUAACGGCUCACCAAGGCGACGACGGGUAGCCGGCCUGAGAGGGCGACCGGCCACACUGGGACUGAGACACGGCCCAGACUCCUACGGAAGGCAGCAGUUUGGAAUAUUGCACAAUGGGCGAAAGCCUGUUGCAGCGACGCCGCGUGAAGGAUGACGGCCUUCGGGUUGUAAACCUCUUUCAGCAGGGAAGAAGCUUAAGUGACGGUACCUGCAGAACAAGCGCCGGCUAACUACGUGCCAACAGCCGCGGUAAUACGUAAGGCGCGAGCGUUGUCCGGAAUUAUUGGGCGUAAAGAGCUCGUAGGCGGCUUGUCACGUCGGUUGUGAAAGCCCGGGGCUUAACCCCGGGUCUGCAGUCGAUACGGGCAGGCUAGAGUUCGGUAGGGGAGAUCGGAAUUCCUGGUGUAGCGGUGAAAUGCCCAGAUAUCAUGAGGAACAACGGUGGCGUUGGCGGAUCUCUGGGCCGAUACUGACGCUGAGGAGCGAAAGCGUGGGGAGCGAACAGGAUUAGAUACCCUGG
rnacentral:rRNA from 1 species